rnacentral:snoRNA from 1 species
CCCUUUCUAAAAAGCACUUGCUGGGUCUGCGGUCAGUGACUCGGUGAGUUGUCGUGGAAGGGCACAAGAACGGCAUCGCUUUUGGGUGAGGUGGCAGCAUGUGCUGUUAACUUCAGUGAGUGGUGUGACAGUG